rnacentral:rRNA from 1 species
AUUGAACGCUGGCGGAAUGCUUUACACAUGCAAGUCGAACGGCAGCACGGGAGCUUGCUCCUGGUGGCGAGUGGCGAACGGGUGAGUAAUACAUCGGAACGUACCCAGUUAUGGGGGAUAACUAACCGAAAGGUUAGCUAAUACCGCAUACGCCCUGAGGGGGAAAGCGGGGGAUCGUAAGGCCUCGCGUAAUUGGAGCG